GGAUUCCCCUAGUAACUGCGAGUGAACCGGGAAAAGCUCAAAUUUUGAAUCUGGCGGUCCAAGGGCCGUCCGAGUUGUAAUCUAGAGAAGCGUCUUCCGCGCUGGACCGUGUAUAAGUUUCCUGGAAUGGAACGUCGUAGAGGGUGACAAUCCCGUCUUUGACACGGACUCCCAGUGCUAUGUGAUGCGCUCUCGACGAGUCGAGUUGUUUGGGAAUGCAGCUCAAAUAGGGUGGUAAAUUCCAUCUAAAGCUAAAUACAGGCGAGAGACCGAUAGCGAACAAGUACCGUGAGGGAAAGAUGAAAAGAACUUUGGAAAGAGAGUUAAACAGUACGUGAAAUUGCUGAAAGGGAAACGCUUGAUGUCAGUCGCAUCGUCCGGGGAUCAGCCUCGCUCUUUUGCUCGGCGUACUUCCUGGUCGAUGGGUCAGCAUCGGUUUCGACCGUCGGAAAAUGGCUCGAGGAACGUGGCACUCUUCGGGGUGUGUUAUAGCCUCGAGUCGAAUACGACGGUCGGGACCGAGGAACUCAGCACGACCUUCGGGUUCGGGGCUUCGGCUCACGUUCGCGUGCUUAGGAUGCUGGCAUAAUGGCCUU
rnacentral:rRNA from 1 species